UUGUUCAGUUUUUGACUACCUUAUUUCUGUUUCAGCACCCCUGGGUUUGUGUGUUUUGGUUACAAUGGGUGCUGAUUAGUUUCACCUGUCUCUGAUUAGUGUUCGGGACACACACCUGCUCCUGGGAACUAAUCAGAGAGCUACUUAUAUUCCUGUUUUUCGCCACAAUCAGACUGGCUGUCUCCUGCAAAACGUUACGUUGAGUAAUUCUAUGAUUCUUGAUUCUAGUUCAUGAGCUAAGCUUCGCCACGGCUGCCAUGCUAUUGGAACGCUUUUCUGUAUUUUAGUAUUCCUGCCUGAAUUUAUGAAAAUAAAUCAUCUUCUUGCCUGCACCUUGCCUCCGGAGUUUCCGUCUGCAUCUUGGGAGAACGAUCCACGGAGUAAAAUGCGACCACGCUGUAACAACAACCUUCUACUAUACAGGUGGCACGGAACGUCGUACUCGAUCUCGUCGUGGCGUGACGGGCUGAGGAACAUGGUGCCGUCCACCAGCGGAAACUGUUCAAACACCGGCAGUGCCCGGUGACACAGCGCACAGUUGACCACGUUCCUCUGGCUCGCGCUCAGGGUGGACAGGAUGAACCUACAAGACAACAGCGAGAAGUGCUGGCUGCACAGAGUCGGGACCCGGGGUGGACCGCUCGCCUGUGCAUCGGUUGGGGACAUCUCUGCGCUGCUGACCCAUCUCCGCUCGGGAUGGUUUCCUGCUGGCCCCACUAUGGACUGGACUCUCCUGUUGUGUUGGAUCCACUGUGGACUGACUGGACUUUCGCUGAUGUGUUGGAUCCACUAUGGACUGGACUUUCACAAUAUUAUGUCAGACCCACUCGACAUCCAUUGCUUUCGGUCUCCCCUAGAGGGGAGGGAGUUACCCACAUAUGCGGUCCUCUCCAAGGUUUCUCAUAGUCAUUCACAUCGACGUCCCACUGGGGUGAGUUUUCCUUGCCCUUAUGUGGGCUCUGUACCGAGGAUGUCGUUGUGGCUUGUGCAGCCCUUUGAGACACUUGUGAUUUAGGGCUAUAUAAAUAAACAUUGAUUGAUAUUUGGUUUAAGCGUUAGAUACCUUUUUACCUGCAAACCGUAGUCGUCGUUCCUGGCAUCUACAAAGAAAUUAGCUAGCUGCUGCCACCUACUGAUAUGGAAGAGUAUUACACGGUUACUCUGCCGAGCUGUAGACAGCACAGACACUCAACAGCGGCACAUUAUUUGCGGAUUAUAAUUACUGGUUUGCAAAAAAUAUUUUUAACCCAAUUAGGUGAAAUUACAUAAUCUCCCACGGCACACCAAACAAUAUAAUCUUUUAUAAUCCUUUAAAAGAAAGACUUACUUUUAUGACAUUCAUCUUUGUGUUGGGUGUUUAAAGGGGCAAAUUUAAAAUGGCUUGAUUGAAUAGUGAUAUCUGGGGGAAAUGUAUGUGCUUGGAAGUAAACUCAAAUUGUUAUAAUGAAAUAAUUUGUAUACAGUUAGCAAACUAUAAGGGGCGAUUUAUUUCAAAUAUAUUGCAUAAAUAUGUAUUAAAGUAACAAGCUCCAACACAAACAGGGCGGACUGCAGUGAAUGCGGAAGUAAACAGGGCGGACUGCAGUGAACGCGGAAGUAGGUGAUUAGCGCUACCGGCUAUUCGUCACCAAGCAAAGAUUCUUUAUUCUUUUCUCCCACUGUGGUGAACUCUUACCUUUAUUGUGUUUAUGCCAAUAACCCGUAUCUAAAAUAUGUUUAAUUUCGAAAAUAGACAACCGCAGACUGAUUAGA